CCUACGGGUGGCAGCAGUCGAGAAUCAUUCACAAUGGGGGCAACCCUGAUGGUGCGACGCCGCGUGGGGGAAUGAAGGUCUUCGGAUUGUAAACCCCUGUCAUGUGGGAGCAAAUUAAAAAGAUAGUACCACAAGAGGAAGAGACGGCUAACUCUGUGCCAGCAGCCGCGGUAAUACAGAGGUCUCAAGCGUUGUUCGGAAUCACUGGGCGUAAGGCGUGCGUAGGCUGUUUCGUAAGUCGUGUGUGAAAGGCGCGGGCUCAACCCGCGGACGGCACAUGAUACUGCGAGACUAGAGUAAUGGAGGGGGAACCGGAAUUCUCGGUGUAGCAGUGAAAUGCGUAGAUAUCGAGAGGAACACUCGUGGCGAAGGCGGGUUCCUGGACAUUAACUGACGCUGAGGCACGAAGGCCAGGGGAGCGAAAGGGAUUAGAUACCCCAGUAGUC
rnacentral:rRNA from 1 species